UACGAAGGGGGCUAGCGUUGUUCGGAAUUACUGGGCGUAAAGCGCGCGCAGGCGGUUCUCCAAGUCAGUGGUGAAAGCCCGGAGCUCAACUCCGGAACUGCCAUUGAAACUGUUGAACUUGAGGACGAGAGAGGUGAGUGGAAUUCCCAGUGUAGAGGUGAAAUUCGUAGAUAUUGGGAAGAACACCGAUGGCGAAGGCGGCUCACUGGCUCGUUUCUGACGCUCAGGCGCGACAGCGUGGGGAUCAAACAGG
rnacentral:rRNA from 1 species